ensembl:snoRNA SNORA72 Small nucleolar RNA SNORA72
CUGCAAAUAUUCUCACUGUUCUGAUGUUGUAAGUAUCAAGACAGGCUAAAUAUUCACUAUAUAGAAACCAUGCAUGUGUCCCCAGACCUAGUUCUCUCCUUAGGUUUGAUUUAAUAAAUGCUGGUGAUAAAA